rnacentral:lncRNA from 1 species
UAGAGGCUGAUUGAUGAUCGGAGAAAGAAAAGGGUGAGAAAUCUUAGAGAGAAGUUGUAGAAGUUUAGAGAAAAGGAAGAGAAAAUGAAGUUCUGAAGGUUGGAGAAGAAAAGUGCAUGCAGAAGAAGUGGCACCAGAUUUGGAAAUCCCAACUUAAAUAUCACCGCUAAAAACCGAACAGUCCGCUCUGCUGCAGCCACCUGUCCUCCACUUUCUGAAUUUUACACUCCCCAAAGCCACUUUGGAUCCCACUAAAUGAGAAAUUAAUUGGAUAUGACAGUUUGUAAUAUAGUUCGUUAAUUGGUAUUAGAGUUCUAUAUCUAUAAUUUGUAU